UGAAACUGACCCAAUGAACCAACACCCAAACCAACCCAAUUACAUACCAACUUCCCCAACCCAAAUGCUUUUUAUAUCCUCUUCUUUAUUAACAACAAAAUAACCGACAAAACACAACACACACUAAACAAACGCAACAAUAAUGGCAAAACCCAUUAGUUGAUCCAACCCGAUACAAAACCCGAUCCUCACUGUCAAACCCCAACGUCGUCGUUGAUGCGAAGGGGUGUGAGUGGCAAAAGAAGAAUGUUGCAAGAACCUUCUAGAAUUUGUCUAGGUGGAGCGAGCUGUGUGUUUCAAGGUACAGAUAGUACUAGUCCGUACCGAAUCCACCUCAUAAUCCUAUCCUUCUUUCAAAAUUAAAAUUGUUUCUAUUAAAAUUGCAGAAAUUACCCCCAAAAUUCCCUUAUCCCAUAUCGGUAUUAGCUGAAAUUUUUCCCAAUCUUGUUCUCUCUAUAUAUGAUUCAUUAUAGAGCAAAAAGACCAAGUCUCAAGAGGGUGAAAACUAUUUUGAGCAAAAAUCAGUUAAUUUUCCAUUUUUUAGUAUAAUUUUUUUCUUCUUUCUAAGAACGGUCGAGGACUGCUCAGAGUUUUCGGAGUCGCGGGAAAGUCCUCUGGUGGUAAUAGAGAUACCAUCGAAGGACCGAGUUCUGUUUUGCUGCUCUGAAAUAGUUAACAUUCCAUUUAGUUUGGUUUUACUUCUCCUUCAUAUCGUGUUUCUAUCAUUCUAUCGUCGUAGUUGUAUUUUAAUAGUCUUGAGUGCUGGGAUAUUCACUGUUAGAGGAUUUGAAAGUCAUAGGUUGUGGUGGAUGUUCAUUUUUUUUUUUUUGUACAUUUUGUGACAUAGUCGAAGUGACUUUAGUUAACUUUACUUUUCAGUGACAUGGCCUGUUGGAUAUUUAGGGUCAAUUUGAACACAGGUUUAAAGCUAGAAUCGGAAAAAAUAUUCAAAAUUGAAGUCUGGCUGCCAAGUUGGCUACUUUUCUUUAUUUUGAUGGUUAAAUUUGAUUUUGAGCUAUUUAUUUGCCUGCAUCAACCAAUGGAGAAGAAAGCUUUAUUUUUCGUUAAUGUAUGGCUUGUCAGAAUGUUUGGCUGAUUUUCUCACUCAUCGCUAGAUUGUUGUUUUAAUCUCCAUUGAAAUCUCCUGUAAUAAUGUUUUCUUUCCUCUACAUCACGACUUCAUAUUUUAUAAAAAAAUAUUUUGCUGGGUAUCGAAAUAACAGUGUUUUCAUAUAACUGAAAGUUAAUUGCUCAUUUUCUGUUCUCGUAUUGUUUUUUUAGAAGCAUUAUAUAAGUUGGCAGCUUUAUUCUGUCAUUGAGUAACGAAAGUUUCAAUUCAAGCUUUGUCUAAAUGUUUCCAUGUUUAUCUAAGCGAUUACGUGCUAGCAAAUAGUUGUGUCUAUUUAUCUGAUUCAUAGUGUUAAUUAAAGAUAAGCAUUGGAUCGUUACAUGUUCUUCUCUUCAAACUUAGAAAAAAAUUAGUUUUUUUUCUUCUUCUUGAUUACAUGCAAGUUUUUGAAUUCUCUUGAUAGUUUUUUUUUUAAAUAAUAAUGGUAGUAAGGACCAAUUUGUAAUAUGUGUUCCAGGUCCUUAGUUAUCUUUAGAAAAACUUUGGUGGAAUUUUUCUUAAUUUAGUUCUAUCACUUUGUUAGACCUUUGUUGUUAGAAUUUUUUCUUUAUUUGGUUGAGGAAUUGUUCAAAUUCAUUUCUUCACUUAUAAUUUUCUUUCCAGUAUUCUUUCUUCUGUGAUCUAGUUUUUCUCUUCCUUCUAUAUUUUUAUUAUUUGUUGCCCUAUUUAUUUAUCUUGUCAAUCUCUUCUUGCCAUGUCUCUUCAUUGCCAUAGUUUGGAUGUUUGAAUUACCUCUAACAUUGCCUUAGUUGGAACUUGACAAUUCCCUUUAUUAAAGUUAGCUUCCACCUUCUUCCUUGUAACAUGAAUUAAUGUUUAUGUUAUGUUAAAAAACGUAUUUUGCUUUUUGUAUUGCCUUUUUUUACUCUCUAAAUCUUGGGUUAUUUUUUCUUGCAUUAAUUCGGUGACUAUGGUCUUUUUUCUUUCGUUUAUCUUUGGCUCGAGUACAAAGCAUAAGGCAUGGGAAUGAGUGUCUUUGUUUUGCAUCUCAUUUGUUGACUCUUAUUUUAUCAUAUGUGUAUAAGUGUGCUCAUUCAAAAAAUUAGCUCUUGAAAUUUUCUUUUAUUUGGAAAUAUAUCACGUGGUGUCUUCAAUAGAUGUUAAUUUCUUCAUUCGUUUUUUUGCAAAAACCCGUUUGGGAGUUCGAAUGGACUUUUUUCCUUGUAUUUUCUAAUGGGCUGAUGAGGCCCAUUUAGUUCCAAGUCAAUUCCAAAAAAAUUCCAAAGGCGAUCGCAUGACACAAAUAAGAGGAAGUGAAAGAGGAAAAUGGGUUGAAACCCAUUGAUGAAAUCACUUUAUUUUCGCCAUUGGUGUAUUUUAUUUACUUAUUUAUUUAUUUAUUUAUUCAUUUAAGUUAUUCAUUUAGGCAUCGAAGCCAAAGUUGUAAAUUAAUACAAGUGAAACAGGUUUUGGGCCAAAGAGUCCCAAAAAAAUAGUUUAGGACAGGUUAUGGGCCAAAGUUCAAUAUUUAGAUUAGGAUAGGUAAAGAUGGGUUGAAAGCCCAAUUAGACUAGGACAAGGUUGAUGGAUUUGAGCUUAAGAGCCUAAAUCGCUUAUUUCUCCCCUUUUUCCAUUCUAUAUGUUUAUUUGCUAUAUGUUCCUUCAAACCUAGUUAGACCCCCUACCAUGUCGUUAAAAAACUGACUUUGCAUAAACCUCAAAAAAUAUUUUCCUAAUCAAUUCUCUUUUCAAUAGUUAAUUUUUCUUUUCUAAAGUUAGUCAAAAGAAUUAUUUUCAAAUAGUCCAGAUAACCGCAAGUUAGCGAAUAUUUUAGGUAUCUUAAACACCUUCCUAAAAUAUUAAUAAGAAUCUCUUACCCAGGAUCUUUUAAAGGCUUAAGUCUUUUUCUGUUUGAGACUUAGGAUUUUAUUUCAAAAAGUUUUCUUAAUUUCUUUUCAAAUAAAUUAAGUGGUGACUCUGUAACUUCUUAGAUUGUUUCAAAAUUUUUAUUAAAAGUUUUUGGAAUAGUUUAAAAGGUUAAGUCAAUAUUUUUCAACCCUUUAAAAACUGAAAAGGGGCAAAAUAGAAAUGAUGACUCUGCUGGGGUGAAAUUUAACUAGGUCUAACCAAAUGUUUGAAUUUAUCUUUUGACUAAUUGUUUAAACUGUUUACGUUCUUAAAUGUUUCAAUUCUGUGAAAUUAACUAUUGCAUCUCAUGGCAUAAUCACGCAUGAUUAUUAAACUAUUUUGGGGUGUCAUGAAUGUCUCGGCCCUUGUUGAUCAACGCUAAAUCAAGUGUUGGGAAUACGACGGUUUAUUUGCACAUUAGGCGGUCGAAGGCCUUUUGUAUUUCCAAAUUCAAGUAGUCCUCUUGGAAACCUAUGUCCAAACCACUCUAGAAAUCCAGGAUAGAGCUAAAUCAAAAUCCUCUUUUAGGCAUGAGCCUAGGACGACCCAAUACCCGAGGGGGUAUUGGGCCCAGUACAAAAACUUGCCCUGCAUUUAUUGACCCUGAGUCAAUUACAGAAGAACCAUGUUUAUGUGCCGAAGAAAUAUAUGUUUGUUUAAACCAAUCUAUUAUCCUUUGGGGUAGGGGGAAGGCUUAUCACGAUUUGCUUUCAUGUAGGAAUGGUCCAACCAUACCCUUGCAAAAAAGUUCAAGAUGGUUACUGGACCUAAUAACUUCCUGAAAGUAUGGUGGACGUAUAUGAGUGGAGAAUAUAAAAGAUUGUUGGUAUACAUAGCGGGCACCUGUCUUUGCUCAUAAAGAUGGAUGCCUGGCCCAAAAUGAUUCAUGUUCUAACGAUAAUUUGGGAUGACAUCAACAUGGUGUUUCUGUUCGGGGAAGUAGAGUUGACACCCACUAUUAAAGAAGUUUUGACUUGUUAUGAAAGCCUUGAUAUGUGCAGAAAGAGAAGGAGUACACCAGACAACAAUGUUCUAGUCCCUAGGAUGAUGAAUCGUCAAGAGAUCAAGAAAGUCUUUGAAAUCAAUAAUGACACUUGGUUGGGAGAAUCUAAUGGGGAAAAUAUAUAUUUUUAUGAAUUUUAUCGCCGAUUUAGAAAGUAUAACGCUUUUGAGAAAUUCGGUCAUAAAUUUGAGUUAGAAAAAAAUGGAAGGAGAAGAGAGCAUUUGCUUUUAUUGUGGGUUUGUUUGGAAUAAUGGUGUUCCUAGAAGGAGAAAAUGGCACCAUCCAUCCGAGGGUCGUUAUGGUAACGGAAACUCUCUUUAACGGAAUAGAUUAUGGUCAAACUAAGGUGUUCCAUACCUUAGACCCUAUGAUAGUUGCUGAGAUAUAUUGGGCAUUGGGAAUGUGCCAAAGCGGUGAUCAUUUCUUUUAAGGUUGCAACCUUAUCUUGCAAUGGUGGAUGAUGACUCACUUAUUGAAAAACCCUAGAGUGGGACAGCUGGACCCUCAGACAAAGGUAAAUCUCCAAUCAUCACAAGACAUAUGUUUAUUCCUGCACAGGUUUAAGAGAAAAGAGUCUUCGGAAUUUUGGUUCAAGAUUUUUGGGGAAUUAAGUGUUGACGACAUUCAGUGGUCAAUUAGCUAUCUUUUCCCAGGAAAGUACAUUACUUGAGGGUUUCCUAGUACUUCUAGGACUCAGGGGGAAAUCAUCCUUAUAAUCCCAUUUGGGUUCUCAGGCAAUUUGAAAUCAGGCAGGUAAUACAACAAAUGACGUCUAUGCUUAGAUUCUUUACUGAGUAUAAUGAAUACAAAACUCCCCUAAAAAAUACAUGGUAGAUGGGUGGAAGAGAAGAAAAACAAAGGAAGUCUCCUUCCGUAUCAGGUAUGAAUCCAAAGUUAGUGACACAUACAAGGAAUGGUUGAAGAAGAGUCUUGCUGGAGCAUUGAUUUCGGGACUAAUUGUACCCACUCAGAUUGUUGAUAUGGAAUCAGAGCAUCAGAUCCGACUCCACAGGCUUCAAGAUGAAUUCCAAAAAAAAAUAAAAUUGCACCAACAUAUGCAUAUGGAGGAUGCCACGAUCAUACACCUGAUGAGAGAAGAGAUAAAGCGGGCCAUGCAAGAAGCUGAUGAUACUAGGCAGUGUCUGAUCGAUUUGGAUGAUUGCAUAGUUUCUCUGAUUGGUAACAUAGAAAGAAUGACCUACAAGAACAAGGGGAAGUUGUGCGGGAGUCACCUAAUCAUCAAUAGAUAUCACAUAUGGCAAGAGGUGAAUAAGGCUAAAAAGGCAAGGGAUAAUGAAGGAGCAUCUAAGAGCUAGUCUUUCUGUCCCCUGCGCGAGACUAUGUUCUUUCUUUUAUGUUAUUUUCCUUUUCCCUAAAGAUUGUAUCCCUCUUAUGCUACUUUUGUAGGCAUCUAUGUCCUUUUAUAUAUAUAUGAAAAGUUGGGGGAUAAUGGAUUGGCUUUAAAAAGGCAUAUAUUUGCUUCAAAAUUCGUUAGGCCAUCCCUUGGCUCAAAAGGGUCACCCCAACUAGGAUAUGUAUUUAUUAUAAUUUUUUAUGUGGUAUAACUGCCUUAUGUGUUUAUGUGUGUUGGUUUGAAUCAAAGACAAAUUUGUCCAUGAUGCUCCCGUGGAUCAGUUUGCUUAUGAUGCAAACAACUCUGUGUGGUUACUUCUUGUCGAAUAUCUUGCAUUAUUAUCAUAUAUGGGAACUAAAUCAUUUGCCUUUGAGUUAUUUUACUUUACAGGUAUUAAAACUACUCUAUGUUGAAACAAGCUAGCAGAACAUUCUUACUUCACCCGGUCAAAAUUUCAAAAAAUCCCAUCCCCUAACCAUCAUUCAAAUAUGACUGGAAGCGAUGAAUAUAAUGCAUUGACCAUCAGGGACAAUGUGAAAGCCAAACAAAGUGAGAUGAUUGCUGAACUUAAGAGAAAAUUAGAAAUUCUUUAAGAGGAAAUGGACCAUACUAGAGAUUUGACUAAUGUGGCCAUCACCGUCAACGCUCCUUCCCCAGGAGGACAUGGGCCUCCACUCCGAAUUUCUUCCCUAAGUAUGUCUAUUCUUGGGAACCAUCCAAAUAACAUAUCGUCCGUCUCCGUUUCCUAAUUGCCCACAUAUCCUAUAAUCAAUAAUCCUCCAAUUUAUCUGUCUAAAAUACCUAUCAAGAAAAUAACCCUGAUGCCCACAAUCCAUAAAAUCCUUCCCUAAUCCUAAAAAAUCCAUCUCCAAAUCCACAAAAUUCAUCCCACAUCCCCAAGACCCUUUUUCAAACUCAUAAAAUCUGCUUCCAAAUCCGUAAAAUCCAUAUCCAAAUCCACAAAACUCGUUUUCAAAUAUGCAAAACCCCUCUUAGAUUCCACCAAACUACUCUUAAAUUCCUUAAAAUAUCCUCAAUUUUCAAAACGUCCUCCCCACCUACCACCUAAACUUUUCUCAUCCUCAAAAUCAAGCUAACCUUUCAAAUACUUCUCAUGUCAUCAUAUCCCCUGGUAUCUACAAUCCCUUACCCAACCCCAGGGUAGACCAUUAUGAGAAGAAGAAAAAAAAGUGGUGGACUGAGUAUGAAAAGAAGUUGCGGGCCAUGAAUAAAGAGAUAAUGAGGAUCAAGAUAUCUAAUGGGGUAGAUGAUAAUUAUGAUUUGGGGUAUAAUGAUUUGUGUGUGCACCCUGGAGUAGAUCUACUAGAAGGAUACAACGUCCCUAAAUUUGAAGUGUUCAACAGUAUCGGAAAUUUGAUGGCCCAUCUAAGAAGGUAUUGUGAUCAAAUGGUUGGGGUAGAAAGAAAUGAAGCAUUAUUGAUGUGCUUAUUCAACCUCAGCAUAAAAGGCGAAGCCUUAGAUUGGUUCAUGUCUCAAGAACUGAAAAGAUGGUCUAGUUGGAGGGCACUUGCUAAAGUCUUUCUCGAUAGAUUUGUGUUUAACAUUGAAAUAGUCCCUGAUCAAUACUCAUUAGACCGAAUAAAGCAGUAGAAUGAUGAGUGUUUCUGAGACUAUGCCUUCUGUUGGAGAACAAAAGCUGCUAGGGUACAACCUCCCAUGUCUGAGGAGGAAAUGGUAUCGAUUUUCUCUCACACUCAGGAGGGAGAAUUUUACACUAGGAUGGUAUCUGCUGUUAGGGCGACUUUCAUAUAUUUGGUAAAAAUUAGGGAACCGCUGGAAGAAGGAAUUCAAAUAGGAAAGACUAUUAAAACCCCAACAUCAUUUGGUACUUCUAUGUUCUCAAAGAAGAAAAAGAAAAACGUGAGUGCACUCUCUACCGAUUCUAUUUCCAAAUUGAAGAAUAAAUUUAAGCCUAGGAACGUUUUCUCCUCUCCACCGUCACCAAAUUUUCAGCAUGUAUUCUACACCCAACCCCAGUACUAAGCUCUACUUCCAAAUAUCCAAUCCCAAUACCAAGCUCCACUUUCAAAUAUCUAAUCCCAAUACCAAGCUCCACUUCCAAAUAUCCAUCCCAAUACCAAGCUCUACUUUGAAAUAUCUUAUCCCAAUGCCAAGCUCCACAACUAAAUAUUUUACUCCAAUACUAAACUCUGCAGCUAAAUUAUCAGUCUCAUGGUCAUGCUACCUUUCCAAACAACCGAAUGAAUGUCUAAGAACCUCCAAAUUGUCAUCAAGUGCCUCCUCCCACUAAUCAAAACCACUAUACCCCCCUCCCAUCCAAAUAUUAAAAGAAGACCUUUACAAAACUUUACGUCAUUGGCUGAAAGCUGCACCCAACUCUUUAGAAGAUUGAAGGACGUCGUUCAUUUACAACCUAUUCAAGUGAAAAUUAUCAAUCCCAAUUCCCAAUUUUAUCAUGUCGAUCAAAUUAUAACUAUCACUCGGGAGCGGCGGGACACAGUACCGAGGAUUGAGUUAGCCUAAAGUAUAAGAUUCAAGACUUGAUUGAUCAGAAGGUUAUCACGCUUCAGUCGCUGACACCAAAUGUCAACAGUAAUCUAUUUGCCAAUCAUGGGGGAGCUACAGUUAACAUGAUCAAAAUAAAGGGCAAAUGGGUGUCUGUCAAGACCAUCACUAAGAUGGAUUCAGAAAAUUCCAAAAGGAUAGAAGGAGUGGAGAAAAUAGAAAGAGCCACAGCUUCCUUAAGUGUCAAUGAGAGGACACCAUUUUUAGUGAUGAAAGCCCCGACUCAGGUAUAUACUCCACCACCUAAAAAGUAAUUUAUUGUAGAAAUUGCCGCCGCCCAAGGGAUGACAUAGUCUGGAUAAUGCUGCAUUCCUGAUGAUUUGACGAAUAUAAAGGAUUGAUAGAAAAGACCAAUCACUAAAGGGAAGGAUAAGGAAUUUUAGAGGUGUAUGCAACCAAAAGAGUAUUUAAUUGUCAAGCAUUUAGAAAAGACUCCAGCCCAUAUUUCUAUUUGGGCAUUGUUAAUGAGUUCACAAUACCACCGACAAUCUUUAUUGAAGGUUCUGGAUGAAGCACAUGUUCCCAGAGGCAAGAUCAUUGAGAAUCUGUCCGCAAUGAUAGGGAAUGUUGUAGGAUAUCAUCACAUAUCGUUUAGUGAAGAAGAGCUGCCGUUUAAGGGGGUGACACAUAACAAAGCCCUGUACGUCACUGUCAGUUGUUGGGACUAUUUGAUUAAUCGAUUAUUGAUAGAUGACAGAUCUGGUUUUAAAAUUUAUACUCUUUCCACAUUGGUUCAAAUAGUCUAUGAUUUGGGAAAAAUUUGCCAAAGCUAUGUAAAUAUGCGGGCAUAUGAUAGGGGGUAGAGAGAUACCAUAUGUGAAGUUGACUUGUACAUCUAGAUGGAAUCUGCUGAAUUCAAGGCUAAAUUUCAUAUUAUGAAUAUCCAUCAUAGUUACAACCUGCUCCUGGGGAGACCAUGGAUCUAUAGUAUAAAGGUAAUUUUAUCAACCCUUUAUCUAUUAUUGAAGUUUAUUUGGGAGGACCAUAAAAUAGUCAUUCAAGGAAAAGGAAGCCAUUUCAAUCAUCCCAAUGGUUAUGUGCCUGUGAUUGAAGAUAUUCCAAGAGGUAGAAGUUUUUAUAUCGUGGAAAUUAUAAGUUCUGUGGAGAAAGAUCUGGCGCCUAAAGAUCCAAUGCCUUCUGUCUACAAAAUGAUUAUGAUCGUGAUGUUAAGAAGUGGGUUCGAGCCCGAUCGGGGCUUGGGUAAGAUUUGGAAGGAAUUAUUAAGCCUAUUAUGGUCCCAGAAAAAACAUCUAAAUAUAGGUUAGGAUACCAGCCAAAAGAAGAGGAUGAGAUUGAAGAUAAGUCAAAGAUAAGUCUGUCUAAACUAUUGUCGCUCCUGCACCAGUUAUUUAUCAUAUGUGAGAUAUCAAAAGAUGAUGGUCUCGAGGAUGGGAUAGGAAAUUUGUUCGAGGGAUGUAAUGCUAUACUAUAAGAUUUUUUGAAAUCCAGUGGGUUGCGGAAGGUUGCACAAGGAGAGGAUUUGCAAAAUCGGACCUCCAUUCCACUCAUAACUCAUCGCCCAUCAUGAUAGAUGAAAGGAAAAUUACUAGUAGUUUUAAAAAUCGGUGAUGAUCUGGAGGAGUCCCCAUGAUCCACCCUUUCAUUUCUCAAAUUUUCUUUUCAUGUUUUACUUUUUUUAAAAAGUCAUAGGCUCGCAUUUGUGUGGGUCAUGAGCCAUAGUUUGUAAUUAUUUCCUAAAUUUCAAUGAAAAGACCUCUCUUUAUUUAAGAAGUUAUUUUGAAAUAUGAUUAUAGUAGUGUAUUUUAUUAUCUUGUUAUCAUCUAGGCUUGUUUGUUUAUUAUAGUAGCAGUAAUUUAAAACUUGCCAAUGUCAUGUCAUGUCAAGAGUUAGACGAACAAAGUGAGGGAAUGAUGAUGAUUGGAAAAAAGUGAUGAUGAGCUGUUAGUUAAAGAUAUAGAGGAAUUGAAAACCGAGAGAAGCCCUACCUGGGGGAAACUGAAAUAGUCAACUUGGAUGAUCAUGAUGAAAUCAAAGAGACAAGUACCAGUGUUCACUUAGAAGAAGCACAAAAAAGAGAACUCAUUCACUUGCUACAAGGAAUACAUUGAUAUAUUUACUUAGUCCUACAAUGAUAUGCUAGGGUUAAGCACCAAUAUUGUGUCACGUAAGCAACCAAUUAAUCUCGAGUUUGAUCCAAUAAAUCAGAAAAUAUAGAAAUUUAAGCCAGACUUACGUUUGUAGAUCAGGGAAGAAGUGACAAGGCAAAUUCAAUCAAAGGUUGUGGAAUUCAUAAGAUAUCCAACAUGGCUAGCCAAUACUGUUCUAGUUCUAAAAAGUUCACGCCGUACGAGGGUCGCUACAUGCUUGUAGAAAGGACGUGUUGUGCUUUGAUCUGGCCUGCCCAAAAGUUGAGGCAUUAUCAAUCCUCGUACACAACAUAUCUAAUUUCUAGAAUGGAUCCACUGAAGUAUAUAUUUUAGAAAGCCAUGCCUACAGGAAAGUUAGCCAAGUGGCAAAUGUUGCUGAGUGAGUUCUACAUUGUGUAUGUGACUCAAAAAGAAAUCAAAGGGCAAGCCUUAGAAUAACAUUUAGCAGAGAAUUGGUUGAUGAUGAAUACGAGCAACUUCAAACAUGAGAAGAUUUUAUUCGCUGGAGAAAACAUUGUAAAGAUAUAUCUCGGAUGGAGAUUGUUCUUUGAUGGAAUGGUCAACUUCAAAGGCUCAGGAAUUAGAGCGGUUUUGGUGUCAAAAAUGGGCCAACACUAUCCGAAAUUGCUAAAUUACGCUUCCUGUGUACUAAUAACAUCGCUGAAUAUGAAGCUUGCAUCCUAGGUCUCAAGUUGGCACUUGAUAUGAGUGUUCAUGAAUUACUAGUCAUCAGAGACUCAUAGUUGUUGAUUCACCCGGGGGGAAUGGGCAGUAAAGAACUCCAAGAUUACCCCUUAUGUAGAAAUGGUGCAGGAUUUGUGUGGGAGAUUCAAUAAAGUUGAUUUCAGACAUAUCCCAAGCAUACAAAAUGAGUUUUCUGAUGCUUUGGCUACUAUAUACUCCAUGAUUCAGCACCUAGAUGAACGUUACAUUGAUCUUUUAGAAAUAAGCUUGAAGGAACAACUUGCACAUUAUGUAUACGUUGAAGAGGAGCUUGACGGAAAGCCAUGGUACUAUGAUAUCAAAAGGUAUUUAAAUUUCCAGCUGCCUACUAAUACUUUAAAUAUUGAUAAUAACAUUGAGGAAAUAUGUAAAGUGAAUAAUAAGCAAAUCAGAUCUGAGGAUAAGUUCACAUAUUUCAAAUAGAUAGAUGGUAUUAUUUUUUGGUGAAAAAGGAAAUACUGUGGGUUGUGUUCCCUUCGACAUAGAAUACGAAGGGCAUAUUGAGUUUUACUGUGAAGGCAUAGUGGACACCGGUCCUUCAUCGACUAAGUCCCACAGAGGGGGACAAUGUACUGAGUCUCGACAGAGAUAUGCUGGUCAUAGGCAUUAUAGAGGCUAUGAGAUAGAUGUAUCCAAGAUCACAGAAAGAAAGAUCCACAGUCGAGCAGUGAGCACAGAUACCAUCCUAGCCUUUUCAUGCUUGUGGAUGCAGAUUUGUCUGGAGGAGUCUAUACCUAAGAUUUUGGGUGUCGAUCACUUUUUAACGGUCCAAUAGACCACAUAUUUGGGGAAUUAGGGAUUUUACAAACCAAAUCUAGUAGUACAAGGUGGGUGGUACACUACUUCAGGCAAAUUUUUAGGUGAGUGGGCAGAUAUAUAUUGACACUCUAGGUUUCGCCAAUCUUGGUGACACCACCACAGAGAUUGCCUACUCUGAGCUUCAAACUUUCAUUAACGUUGUUGGUUCUUCAUAGGCCUUGUUUUUUCCUUUUACUACAAGACCAUUUAAUUGUAGGCCACUUUUAAGUGGCUAUGCAUUAGUUUCGCAUAAGUUCCUGGCCACUAUGAUUAAAAGAUUAGGCACCUUUGAGCGACGAGUUACAAAUAUUGAGCAGAGGGUGAUGCCUUGGGUAAAGAAUAAGAUCAUGACUGAGAUUUAGGGAAUGUAGACUUGAUUUGAUAGAUUUAAGUGGCGGGUCAGCCAAAAGUUGGUGGGUGUUCAGGCUCCAGAUCUGGCAGGGUUGUAUGAGAAAUUGGUUGCACUUUAGGCUGCUAUAGAGGACAUAUAUGUGAGGCCAUUACCUACUUACCCUAUUAUCAAGGAGAUCUUUGUUGAGGAUGUUCCAAAUAUUUAUUUCAGAAUGGGAAAAAAAGACUCCUAAAGAAAAAAGUGGAAAGAGGAAGAGAAGAAAGAAGAAAGUUAAUUUCCAGGCAGCAAAGGUAGCCAUCCUGUAGAUAGCAUAGUACCGUCAGACUAGAGUCUAUGAGAUAGGGGUAGGAGAUGGUAGCUCUCGAGUGGUUAACAUGACAACUACAAUAAAAUUGAGUGAGGGAACCUUUCUACCUCCUAAAAGCCAGACUACUUUGAGCACACCAACCACAGUUGGUACCAUUGAUGAUAUGAGUAUCCUGACCACUGUUGGGACCACGAUUAAUGAGAGUAGGGCCCAUUUUAGGGUCUCACUAGCUGAGUCAUAAUCUGGUGCCUAGUGUGCCCAGGUAUGUCUUUAUUCUUUGUUUUUACUUUAUAUAUGUGCACUGGGGAUAGUGCAUAACUUUUAAGUUAGGGGUGGCGAUAUACCACAGCUGAGGAUUUUUCUUUCCAUGUUUUUUCCCAUCAGCUGCGUUAUCAUAAUAGAACUGACAUAUUCAGGUCGUAUCCUAUUUUGUUUCAUGUUGUUUUUAUUUGUUUGUGUUUAACUAAGAGAAAAAUGAAUAACCUAAGGGUAGUUGAUGCAUUUUAUUUGUGUUCAAGUUUUUUGAGAAAAAUAAUACCCCUCUAAAAAGUUUGUUUUGAACUAUGUGAUGUGUUUAUACGUGUGACCAUUGUGAAUCUUGUUAUGGAAUUAGGAAUUAGGGAUAAAACAAUAAUCGCUAGCAUUUCCAUAAACUGGAUAGUUAAUAGAUGGUAAUUUAACCCUUUACUCUGUGUGUGUGAUAUGCUUUCCUAGUUACCUUUUAGCAUUUAAUCUAGAACUUUCCUGGUUAGUGUUGCCUAGGUUGAAGGAUAAUUGUUUAGGAAUAGAUCAUAGUCCAUUUUUUAUGUAGUCCACUCUUAGACUAAAUGACCAUCCAAGUGUGAAAAGGUAUCCCUUUAUCCUUGUUUUAACCCUACAUAGACCUAUUUUCUUGUUUUCACAUUUCACCUUCGCAGUUUAAUUAUAAUGAACCUGUUUUUAACCCAGUCCCUCCUUGGACAUUAUGUACCUCAACUUAGGAAAAUUGACUAAGUUGGGGGUGGCUAUCAUAGGGGUGUAUUGUUACAAAUUAGAUUUGAAGAAUGGUUUGAAUAAGAGAAAAGAAAGUAAGGUUGGGUGUGGUAAAAAGAGAAAAAACAAAAAAGAAAGAAGAAGUGAAAAAAGGAGAAAGAAUAAAAUAAACUACACCCAACUCAAAUAAGCAAUAAAAAAGAAAUAAGGGAGACACAAAUGAAAAGAAUUAUGGUUGAGAAGUGGACCCCAAAUGUAAUUGUAGUGUCAAAGAGAGUUAGUGACUAAUUCCCAAAUGUACUAUAUCAUACCCCAAGCCUAUAUUACAAGCUGAUUAAGGUCCUAUAGUGAUCAUAGUCCUAUUGUUUGAAAACUAAGGUAAAGAGAAUAAGGGCGAGCCUAUGGUAUUCUAUGCACAUCGAUUGGAACUUUUUUUGUGAGUGUGAGUGUCUUGAUAAUGUCCCCACAUUGACUUGCAUGAUUAUAUUAUAAAAGUGGGACUUCAUUGUUGUAACGGUACAUGGGCUAUGUUGCUAGCUAUUUAUUAAUUCAGAUAGUGCAAUUUAUAUAUACGCUUGAUUGUUUGUUGAUAAUGUAAUGCCACAGAUUGAUUUCUUUGUGUUGCACUGUUGGGUUGCAUAGAUCCACAUAGGUGGUUUUGAAAAGUUAAAAAUAGAAGAAGGUGAAAAUUUUUAGUUGAAAAUGAGUUGUCUGUCCUAUGUACCUUAGGUUUCUCUUUGUUAAGCAUUGUGUUGUGUUUAUGUUAAGUGUUUGUUUCCUGAAGACACACAAAUGUUCAAAGUUGAGGGUGCUGGUGUGUCAUUAUUUCAUGGCAUUAUCGAUGUAUAAAACUUUGAAAAUAUUCAAGUACUUAGGUUAUUUUGUUAGAUAUAAUGUGAGUUUGUGUGUAAGUUACAAAAGAAUAUGGUUGGAAGUAAAGUGGAAUAAAAUGAGAAGGAAAAGCUCCAAAAAGUGAAGUCACUACCUGGACUAUGAGUUGUUAGGUGACUAUACUACUCAUAGCCCAAGUCGUCAGGAGAACAGUAGAUGAAAGUGAGAUGAGGAGCAAAGUAAAUAAUAGGUAUAACUCAUAGGAUCUUACUACUAGUCGGAUAGAGGAUUGUUCUAAGCACACUUUGUGGAAAGUCCUGAGUAUGAACAAAUUAGAGUCCAGUAGAGAUGAGGCUAGUAACGAGUUGUAAGGUUCGAUUAGGACUCAUUGUGGAAACUAUUUCGAGCAUCUGGAGUUAGGAUACUAAAUGUUGAAAACUUACUAGAGUGACAACGAGUCCAGCCAAAGACUCUAGGGACUCAUGAUGAGUUAUCUUCACUGAUAACUGCAGGAAUACAACAAAGUUGACAACGUGUCAUCGUCAGUCCGGACGACUCAUUGCUUGAAGCAUAGCCACUGCCGACCUUAUUUUCCUAUUUCAUUUUGGUUAGGUUUUCUAUGUUAUUUUGAGAAACUAUAAAUACUCCUUGAAUAUUUUUGUAAUAGCUUACACAGUUUUUAUAUUCAAAAACAUAUAUUGAUUCUAAGAUUCGACUUUUGAUCUUGGAAUCCUUCAUUCGUGAUUAUUUGGUUGAUUAUUAAUUAGAGACUUUGGGUUUACUUCCUUAAUUGUUGUGAGAUUAAUAUUAGAUAUUCUUUUAUGAAUUCCAUGUAUAUUCUUGGAAACAUGAAAGGCUAAACCACCUAACUAGGUUUGUGGGAACCUUGGCAGAAUAACUAGGUAGAAGAAGUGUGAGAUCCUUCUAGAUCAGUGUUUAUGCAUGUGUUGUGAUCUUUGAUUUGUAUGAUUUCUUAACUACUGUAGAAGUUAAGAAAUUUCCCGUAUUCGAGAUUAUCUUCACAAGCGAGGUUGAGAUUAGGAAAAGAGGAUCACAACAGUAAUUCGAUGUUACCAACCUUCAUCUAAUCAAUUUGACACCAAAAAGAAGAUAGUUGAACUGGGUUCCAAGACAAGGUUAGUAAGGUUACACUCUGACACUCACAAGGUGAAAAGUAAAAUUUACCAAGGAUGUUUACAAGAUGGUUGGUGAUACAUAGCUUGUCAAAUAUUACACGUAGGGCAUUGAGAUAGUUGGAUUGAGCAUGAUAAGUGUAUAGAGUUAGGAAGCCAGGGGGAAACACAGUCCUAACAUUCAUCUUAGAUUAAUUUCAACCAAAACGACCAAGACUUGUUACUACAUUAUUGUUUUCAUAGCAAAUCCCCCAUUCACUUUCAUACAUUUUUGGGCUUCUGUAGAAAAUUUGUGAGAGAUAUUUGGUCUAUUCCCUAUUGGUUUGACCCCAACCAUUAUUGGGUUACUAUAUUUGACAUGAACCGUAUUAUAUUUCUUUGGAGGUAUAUCUUGGGUGACAUCAAGUACUUAUAGUAUACAAGUGGGAGAUAAUUAACAUGGAUUUCAUUACUAGUUUACAUGUACUCACAACCAUCAUGACUCUAUUUUGGUUAUGUUAAUCGAAUGACCAAGUCAACGUACUCUUUGCCUGUCAGGUUGAUUUUCUUCUAAGGAUUAUACUAAGUUUUAUAUUGGGAGAUCAUCAGGUUGUAUGGUAUACUAUUGUCUAUCAUUUACGAUAGAGGUACCCAAUUUACCUCUCACUUUUAAAGAUGUUUUCAGAAAGGGCUGGAUACUCAGGUAAAUCUUAGUACUACUUUUCAUGCUUAGAUAGUUGGUCGAGUAAUGGGUACUAUUCAAAAAUUAAAGGGCAUAUUGAGGUCUUGUGUUAUUGACUUUAUGGGUUGUAAGGAUAAUUAUUUUCCUCUUAUUCAGUUCAGCUACAAUAACAAUUAUCACUAUAGCAUCCAGAUGAUAACUUUUGUGGCCUUGGAUGAGUAAAGGUGCUAGUCUUCUAUACAUUGGUAUAAGAUUGGUGAAGGAAUAUUUUUAGGUCGAUAACUUGUUCAUUAAGAAAUGAAAAAGAUUAAGUUCAUUAGAGAAAGGUUAAGACGACACAGAGUUACCAAAGGUCAUAUUACAAUGUGAGGUAGAGAGAGUUGGAAUUUGAUGUGAAUGUCUUAGUAUUCUUAAAAGUCUCUUCUAUGAAAGGUGUUAUACUACUUAUAAUUGCAAUGACACAUCAUGUAUUUAUAACACUGUUAGUAGUGUAAGAUUCCAGGUAGAAUUAUCUUAGAACGAGAGUUGUGAAAAUCAUAGGCUAGGGUGAGUUAAGAUAAAAUUUAACUGUUAUGCAGUGUAGAGACCUCUUACAUCUUGUGGUGGUUAUCUUAUUGGUUUUAUAGGCAUGAUAUGAUAGAUAAUAAGUUUUUUGAUAUAUAGAAACUUUCAGAACAAAAAUUAGAUUCAAAGACAUUUGAUUAUUGUGAUUGUCUUAAAGGAGUUAUUUUGUAAUGUAAAAAUCUAGGAAGUGUAUCGUGAAAUAGAUUAGACCUAGAAAAUAACUAGUUACCGCUACAAUGGAAGGAGGUUUUGCUGUAGUGAUCUUGCUUUAGCAAGCAUUGGGUCAUUGCAGUGGAGGUCCACAACUAAUAAUUCUACCAUAAAAGAUAGUUAUCACUAAAGAGACAUUUCUACAUCAACAAAAUGACUAUUGUAAUGACAUUGGGAUAGUUUUUACCCAUAAUCCAAGAGCGUUAUUUUCUCAAACUUUCAAAGUUUUACCUAGGGCUAAGAAAAAGGUAAUAUUUUUCAUUCUUAGGUGUUUCCUACUAUUAAGGUAAGUUCAUUUCAUCAUUCUUGUUGUUACUUCCUUUAAUCCUUAGAAUCCUUAGAGUAUGUUCAUGGUUGUAACAAUCAUAGAUGUAAAUUUUUCCUUUUUAUGUAUUUUGACUAUUUUUCCUUUUCUGUAAUUGUUAUAUGCUAUUUAUGAGUUGUGGGAUAAUUUGACAUAAUCCUCGAUGCAUUUGGAAGUGAUUUGGGUGAAUUUGAGACUUUUAGAGGCUUUUAAAAGUCAUGAGUUGAGAUUAGUCAACAUUCCAUUCUUCGAGCGUUGGAUGGUGAUUUGGAUAAUUCUAUUAAAUCAAAAUAUCAAUUUUGGGUUAGUAGCGUAGUUAGUUCGGGCGGGGCCUUUAUUUUGCAUUUUGAUCAUUUUGAUGGAAACUAAUUCAAAUAAAGGUGCACAACUGAUAUCUGGUGCAUAAAUCCUUCUUUGCAAAUUCAAAGCAAUUUGCCGCUAACAUGGAGAAGGAAAAUAUCUUUCAUCGUAGUUGCGAAGAGGUGGCUAUAAUUACAAAGGUUGUUGGGAAUUUAGGCUGGGUUUUGUCUUAUGGAAAUUGAGAACAUGAAGGCAAAUUUAAUGGCUUGUUAAUAUUGACCUUGGAAAUCGCAAAGUAGGGACAACGAUCAUGAGGUACUGUUCAUCUAAACAGUCUAAAGUUCUAUUUUUAUGAUUUUUCACCAUUUUUGACUUAGGAGCUUCGGGAAAGGUGAUUUAAAAAAUUCAUUUCAAAAUGGAUUUUUGGGUUUUUAUCUAAUUAACCUUAAAUUAAUUUUUCUUCAAUUUGAGCUCCAUUUUUAACUCAUUUUUGCAUGGGUUUUCAAAUAUAGACUCCUUUUGAUAUGUGGAACAUAUUUCUAAAUUAAAAUCUAAAUUUACCCUUUUGAUUUUGAACCUACUUUUUACUUUAUUUUGGAACCUAUUUAAAUAUGGAUAAUAUGAAUAUCAUUAGUUUUCAUUUGAUGUACAAAUUAUGUUUUUGGUUGUUUCAGUCUGUUCCUAGCCUGCUCAUGCAGGAAAGGCUCCACAUUGAAUGGUAUAGGCUUGGUUUUUCUCUCUUCGAGGUAGGUUAUGACUUAACUUUAUUUAGACUGAGUUAGGUAGUUAACAUUCGAGUAAAGCAUGCUAUGGGUUUGGGUGUUAUAUAUGGGGAUUGUAUUUCAAAGUAAUUAUUAAUACCAUGUUAUUCGUGUGGGGGUUUAUGUGUAAAUUGUUGUUAGUGAGAGAGAUUAUAAUUGUUUUGAUAGCCAUGUGGGGGAUUUAUUUUAUAUUUGUAGGCCUUAUUUAUGCAUUAAACUCCAUGAUUACUAUUGUAUUUCCUAUAUGAGGGCUUGAUUAGAUAUUAUAUUCCUAUUUAAGCAUUAUUUGCCGCAAUCAUGAUUGUGAUACACAAGUGAGGUGUUUUGAAAUGAUACUUUUGUUGUCUUACGUGACUAUCUAUUCUAGUGGUGCCGAGUGAGGGUUUAUAUCAUGAAGUAUUGACAUUUUGAGUUGAUUCAAGGCUUAUUGUUACCUGUAUUGAAUUGGUUAUCAGCUUUAUACUAAUUUGUUAUGAGCAUUACAUCCUCAUUUUAUGCAGACAUAUUCAUGAGACACUAGUACUACUGAAAAAAUAGAAAUAUUUGAAAGAAAUGAGAUGCUUUAUAAAACCCUUGGUUGUAAACAUUAGCCGACGAGGUUAAUUGAGAUUUGAGAAAGUAUACGAGUUGCAAUCCCCUAUGCAUCCAGUGUUAAAGUGUUGAGGCUUAGAAGGUGUAUAUAGAAAGUCAUGUGAUGGCUUACAUUCAUCAUUAUCACACUAUCAUUGCAUUGCUAUGCAUUACAUUACUUCAUUAUAUUUUCUUAUGUGUUUGCUCCCGUAUAUAUAGUUUCUCUAUUUAUAUUUUAUGUAUAGUUUACCCUUAUUGAAUUUAUAUUAUAGAACUAUUAGUGGAGACGGUGUGAGCUAUCAUUUGAGAACUUUUCUAUUUGCAGGAGGAAUAUGCUCAUAUAUCUUUUAUUUAUUUAGUUUUCUAUAUUGUUCAAUUGGUAUAUGGUACCUAUUGAGUACAAGUGGACCAUACUCACUUCUACUUUUGUUCCUUUUCAGUGCAAGAUCCCAGUAUGAGUGCACCCCGUGGUAGCUAAGCUUGUGUGGUGGGAGUUUGAUUUUGAGGUAAUGGUAGGAUCCAAUGUUUGGAGUAGAUUCCAG
rnacentral:lncRNA from 1 species